rnacentral:lncRNA from 1 species
GGCAGAGGGAAACCAGGCUGUGACUAAACGGGAAGGUUUGAUCAAGUGAAGAAAAGCUGUUGUAGUUUAAUGUGCUUUGCGCACAUUUUCCUCUUCAUCCUCCUGCUGACGAUGAUGAUGCUCGAUGAUGAAUAUUCUGAUCCACAACCUGAAUGAAGACCCCUGCAUCCAACAGUAUUCAAAGAGGCCAUAGAUAUAUAAUCAACACUAACCCCAGUUUUGUGGUGAUAAACCAGGACUCAGAUCACCCGUAUUACUUACACCCACCGAACACCCCGACUGGUGCAGAAACAUCUCUGCAUGAUCAUAGACUGCUUCUGUCAGCACAGUCUGAGUGUUUGAGGACAGACGGCAUUUCUGCUCACAAUGGAAGCCAGAGCACUUUGCAGAACAGAGAAGAGUUUAUCUGUGAAUGUGUUUGUGGGAAUCUUACCAGGCAUCUGGAGAUGUCUCAGGAUUUUCAAGCUACGCAGAUACCAGAACAUCAGAAACAAGGAAGAGUCUUUAUGAAGGAGCCAAAGAGCACAAAGUGUUUAAAGAACAGAAAAACAGGAAGUGUGAUGGAGGAUAUCGUUGAACGCAACAAGAAAACAUUGGGGCGGAAAACAACUCAGUCAGGUUCUUACAUGGUGAAACAUGCACUUAAAGAGGAGACGCUGCAUGCUGUGAAAAAGGUUUGUGCAGCUCUUGAGGAGACGUUGCAUCCAGCAGGUCAAGAGGACGUUUCUGUUCCUAUGCUCAGACUGCAACAGAAAACACAGCAGAUGCAGAUACGUUCAAGUGCAGAAACCAAGGUCCACCACCAAAGCAAAGGAAACGAAGAACAGCACAAGGAACAACCUGGCACGUCGUUUUCUGUCCUCGUGGAUACAGCUGCACAUGAAGAAAGACCGAGUCGUUUUCCCUCGAAGAUCCACGACAACGUCCACGUUAAUACUCCCUCCCAUCUCCUCCUUCCACCCAAACAAACAAGGCAGGAUUCCAUGAUCAACCUCAAGUCCUUGAAUGAUCAUAGUUCAUGGAAUUCCGUGCCCGACCUUGUUUUAUGCUCAGAAAGUCAGCGUUUUAAUCACAAAGUAUCUCCUCAUAAGUCACGGAACUGGCAACAGCCCAACAAUCAUGGUGGCCGCCCUGAAAAAUGCCAAAGGGCGUUGGAAAUGGAAAGGGAACACCAAAGGUGGAACCCAAAUGAUGAAACGUGUACACCACAGCACGUCAUGACACCAGUGACGUCCUUAUCUGAAAGCAUGAGCUCCUUCACAGUGCUGCCUCCAAUAGAAGACGUGAAAAGAGGAAGCUGUGAUGAUGAUGAUGCUCAGAGCACGGCUCAACCCAUGCAGAGAUGCAGCUCGGAGGGUUACCUGGUGAAGAUGGAGAAACAAAGGCAGAUUCAAGCAAGAGUCGCGCACAAGCACCAUGCUGAGAAAAUGGAAGGACAGACGGUGCGUUUGAAAGGGUUUGACAACCAGAAGAAAAGGAUAAGUAGGUUUCCCGUUACUGCUGCCAAAGGCUCGGACGGAAAAGACAAGAAUGUUUCCAGGACAAAGGCUUUGGAAUACGCCAAGACUAUAGCCAAACCCACUCGCCAAACCAAACAAAGACAGAAGGAACAAUCCAACAGACGAAUAGAGCACGCUUUGUACCAGGAAGGAGUUGAUACCUCUCAGCUUGCAACACUGG